rnacentral:rRNA from 1 species
AGAGUUUGAUCAUGGCUCAAGAUUGAACGCUGGCGGCAUGCCUUACACAUGCAAGUCGAACGGCAGCACGGGAGCAAUCCUGGUGGCGAGUGGCGAACGGGUGAGUAAUAUAUCGGAACGUGCCCAGUCGUGGGGGAUAACGCAGCGAAAGCUGUGCUAAUACCGCAUACGAUCUAUGGAUGAAAGCGGGGGACCGUAAGGCCUCGCGCGAUUGGAGCGGCCGAUAUCAGAUUAGCUUGUUGGUGGGGUAAAAGCCCACCAAGGCGACGAUCUGUAGCUGGUCUGAGAGGACGACCAGCCACACUGGAACUGAGACACGGUCCAGACUCCUACGGGAGGCAGCAGUGGGGAAUUUUGGACAAUGGGCGCAAGCCUGAUCCAGCAAUGCCGCGUGCAGGAUGAAGGCCUUCGGGUUGUAAACUGCUUUUGUACGGAACGAAACGGCUCUUUCUAAUAAAGAGGGCUAAUGACGGUACCGUAAGAAUAAGCACCGGCUAACUACGUGCCAGCAGCCGCGGUAAUACGUAGGGUGCGAGCGUUAAUCGGAAUUACUGGGCGUAAAGCGUGCGCAGGCGGUAAUAUAAGACAGAUGUGAAAUCCCCGGGCUCAACCUGGGACCUGCAUUUGUGACUGUAUAGCUAGAGUACGGUAGAGGGGGAUGGAAUUCCGCGUGUAGCAGUGAAAUGCGUAGAUAUGCGGAGGAACACCGAUGGCGAAGGCAAUCCCCCUGGACCUGUACUGACGCUCAUGCACGAAAGCGUGGGGAGCAAACAGGAUUAGAUACCCUGGUAGUCCACGCCCUAAACGAUGUCAACUGGUUGUUGGGUCUUCACUGACUCAGUAACGAAGCUAACGCGUGAAGUUGACCGC